rnacentral:lncRNA from 1 species
UACGCGUCUCAGAUGAGAUCUUCACCAACGGAGGAGUCGUGCUACCGCACAAGGAAAUCAAGGCCUCCAUCUUGAAGCCUGAGAUUGUCAUGUGAUUGCGCCUCUCAACUUGAAACCGCACAAAAAUCUCAUGAAAUCUGAAAUCCUCCUCUCAAUCAGGAGCUUGGCUGUUGUCAACUUUCCCAUAUAAGGUUUCUUUCUUAUUGGACAAGAUACUUAAGCCGUUUGCAGCACCAGCACCAGCACCAGCACCAGCAGCCCUGAAGAGCACCGAAACUUAUUUAUUGAUCAUGGUUCCUAACGUGAUUUGAGGGCUAAUUUUUUUGUCAUAUACGGACAGGUGAUACACACCUACAAGAGAAGUCGAUUCACCAGAGAGUGGCAUAGUGUGGAGACUCUGACUUAGCUAGUAAGAAGAUAGAUCAGUGAGACGGUGGUACUGUAGGUUGUUAGUUUUUCACCGUGCCUAGUGCUUUACCGAGUGAGGCAAUGUGCGGGUAGUGGACAUGGAAGGAGAGGAAAUUGCUUAACAUUGGGAUUCUGAAUAAGAAGAAGGAAGACACGAGCAGAUGCAGAUAGAUAACGUCAC